CCUACGGGAGGCAGCAGUAAGGAAUAUUGGACAAUGGGCGCAAGCCUGAUCCAGCCAUGCCGCGUGCAGGAUGAAGGUGCUCUGCAUUGUAAACUGCUUUUGUUUGGGAAUAAACCCUUCUACGUGUAGAGGGCUGAAUGUACCAAAAGAAUAAGGGACGGCUAACUUCGUGCCAGCAGCCGCGGUAAUACGAAGGUCCCAAGCGUUAUCCGGAUUUAUUGGGUUUAAAGGGUGCGUAGGCGGGUUAUUAAGUCAGUGGUGAAAGCCUACAGCUUAACUGUAGAAUUGCCAUUGAUACUGAUGAUCUUGAGUAUGAUUGAGGUGGGCGGAAUGUGUCAUGUAGCGGUGAAAUGCUUAGAUAUGACACAGAACACCGAUUGCGAAGGCAGCUCACUAAGUCAUAACUGACGCUGAUGCACGAAAGCGUGGGGAGCAAACAGGAUUAGAUACCCUGGUAGUCCACGCCCUAAACGAUGAUCACUCGAUGUGUGCCGAUACACUGUACGCGUCUGNGNGAGACGACAGUAGAGCCGACCGUCGGGUAGGUACGACCGACGAGGUUAGUAACGUUACGAAGAAGUUAGACGGCGNGGAGACGNGCGACGGCGACGACGACGGGAGGUUAGG
rnacentral:rRNA from 1 species